rnacentral:rRNA from 1 species
UACGUAGGGACCAAGCGUUGUUCGGAUUUACUGGGCGUAAAGGGCGCGUAGGCGGCGUGACAAGUCACUUGUGAAAUCUCCGGGCUUAACUCGGAACGGCCAAGUGAAACUGUCAUGCUAGAGUGCAGAAGGGGCAAUCGGAAUUCUUGGUGUAGCGGUGAAAUGCGUAGAUAUCAAGAGGAACACCUGAGGUGAAGACGGGUUGCUGGGCUGACACUGACGCUGAGGCGCGAAAGCCAGGGGAGCAAACGGG